GCGGGUGUAGCUCAAUGGUAGAGCAACAGCCUUCCAAGCUGAAGAUGGGGGUUCGAUUCCCCUCACCCGCUCCA
rnacentral:tRNA from 1 species